AUGGGGAGGCCCUCCUCUCGGUCCCGCCUCCAUCCCAAGCAUGGCUGCUGGGGAUGAGGGAGGGGGCC
rnacentral:miRNA from 11 species